rnacentral:tRNA from 1 species
GGUUCUAUGGUCUAAUGGCAAGACGACAGGUCGUGGCCCUGUAAAUGCGUUUUCAAUUAACGCUAGAGCCU